rnacentral:rRNA from 1 species
UACGAAGGGGGCUAGCGUUGUUCGGAAUUACUGGGCGUAAAGGGCGCGCAGGCGGCCCUCCAAGUCAGGCGUGAAAGCCCCGGGCUCAACCCGGGAACAGCGCUUGAGACUGGGGGGCUUGAGUUCGGGAGAGGAGAGUGGAAUUCCUGGUGUAGCGGUGAAAUGCGCAGAUAUCAGGAGGAACACCUAUUGCGAAGGCAGCUCGCUGGGACGUUACUGACGCUGAGACGCGAAAGCGUGGGGAGCAAACAGG